AUGGCGGAGGAGCAGAUGGAGGAGGCGGCGUCGUCCGCGGCGGCCUCCGGCACGCCGUUCCAGCUCCAGUUCGACAAGCCCAUCCCCUUCCAGAUAAAAUUGGCAGAGUGGAACCCAGAGAAGGAUCUGCUUGCUAUGGUUACUGAUGACUCCAAGGUUCUCCUCCAUCGCUUCAAUUGGCAACGGCUGUGGACUAUAUCCCCUGGGAAGUGCAUCACAUCAAUUUGCUGGAGCCCUGAUGGUAAAAUAGUAGCACUUGGUACAGAAGAUGGUUUUGUUCUUUUGCAUGAUGUGGAGAAUGGGAAGAUGUUACGAAGUAUAAAAUCUCAUGAUGUUGCCAUCGUAUGUCUGAAUUGGGCAGAAGACGAACCACUAUCAAGGACUGACAAGGAAGACUUGUUAUCUUAUGAAGACCGCACUACACGUUUCUUUCCUCCUGCUCCCGUGAUGCCUAGGAUAGGCGGGCUCAAUUCGGGAGAUACUGGUCUUGCAGAUGAGAAUGAAGAAGCCAUUCAGGCAUUUUCAAGUGCUUCGUGUCAACGUUUUAAUAUUCUGUGCACUGGUGAUAAAGAUGGUUGCAUUUGCUUCAGUAUUUUUGGAAUAUUUCCAGUUGGAAAGAUAAACAUAAAUAAGGUUCCAAUCCAUGUACAAUCCUCUGGAAAAAGAACUAGCUACCGACUUCAGGAUGUUUCCAUAAGCAAGGUCUCUUUAUCACGAAAUCUCCAUCAGUUGGUUCUUCUGUGCUCUGGAAAGCUGAUUAAUACUGACAACCUUUCUCUCAGUAAUGAUCUUUCUGUUGGGAUACAUUGUUUGCACCUUGAUACCUCUAUCUUUUUCAGCAGGAAAAAUGAGCUACAUCAGGUGUCUCAACAAGCGUCAAGUAUUCAAGAUCUGGUCGAAGUUGCCCGUGCUUCCAUAUCUAUGAUGUCCAAACAAUGGUCAAAUGCUAUGAACUUAUUUCAUGAGAAAUUUAGUGCCUUGCCUUCUCUGCUUACUGCCCAUGGGAUGGAAUCUAGCUCCGAGGAUGAGUUUAUGAGCCUUUUGUUUGGGACACAUACAAGUCCGGCUCUACAUCAAUUUCUAGUCAGCUCCCUUGGUGAAGCGGGACUCAAGAGGAUAGCUAAGACUAUUGAAAGUGCUGGAAGAGAACUUCGUAUUGUUGUCAGUGAGCAUCUUCAGCCUGCAGUCGAAAUUAUUUCAUUCAGACUUGCAGAACUGAGAGGCCUUGCGAGAUGGCGUUCAAGAUUUCAGAACAUUGGGUUAGAUGAAAAGCUUAUGGAUGGUGUAACUGAGAGGGUAGGGAUGCUAGUUGUGCAAGUUGAGCGCUUUUCAAGGGUUGCAGCUACUGUUCUUUAUCUGUUCCAAAAUUUCUUCAGCUGGGUUUUGAAGUGUGUUAAGAUAUUGUUAAGUGAACCAACUGAUCAAGUUCCAUCCACAAACAGUGAACUUGUGGUGAUUUUUCUGAAGUUUCUUCUUGGUAAGGAUCCAAUCAAGCAGUUACUUGAAACAGAUCAGAUAUUUGAGUGGGAUAUUGAUACUGCGAAACAUGUUGAGCAUCUAGUAGUUUUUGGAGGAUUUACAGACACAAAGUUUUUGGAAAGGAGUUUGGCCAAGCAGUUUAGCGAGUUGGAAGAAAGCUUGAAGGAGGCUUUCUUGAUGCCAUUCACCACUGUAUCUUCAAAAAUACAUUGCCAAGGAUUGCUUCCUCUUUAUCCUGUUACAUCGUCCGAUGCCUUGUCAUCAACCAGUACUCCAGCAUCAAUUGCGUUCUAUAAGCAGGAUAAAGAUUCUCAGCAUAAUGCUUCUUCAUAUAGCUCGACUGACUACAUAUGCUUCAAGAUACCUGAUGGAUCGUUAAAUUUAAGAAAUUUCGUUGCUGUGAUAAAGGACUUCUGCAACUCAUGUAGUACCUCCAACACACCAUCACUUUCAGGUUUUCUGUUGCAUAUACCUGUAGAAUACGAGUGUGUUGAUCUGUCUCUUUACAAGGACAACCAGGUGGUUUUACUACUUAGUGGAAAGUCCAGCUCUGAAAGUGCCGGGAGAUCUUGGAUGGUUAUGCUGCAGACAGAGAACCUCUCUUUUUCACAGCUCUCAAGAACGUUCCCUGCAAAUUAUUACAAUCUCCAAGAAUUGGAGGCGCUGGAACUCCAAUUGGAUACAGAUUAUGGAAAAGUUCGUAGCAUCCCUCACCCUUUGUCUACUCCGCUGGCAGUCAGUGCCUCAAGAGGAGUGGCUUGUGUCUUCUCAUCGCGGAGGCAUGCUUUGGUCUAUAUCCUUGAUGAGGACGAAGACGAGGAUGAAGAUGAAGAUUCUGAGAUGGAGUGA
rnacentral:rRNA from 1 species